ensembl:misc_RNA predicted gene, 25655
ACAUUUGAAGGUUGUCUGACUAAAACACCUGUCAGCCCAUUGAUCACUAGAUAGGUGACUUUCUCCAUCAUCCCUCAUCAUUCUGUGUCCCUUCUGAAGCUGUGCCCUUGGUAGAAGAGGAAAACUUCCCCUGACACAUAAGGAUUCUUCCUUUGCAUGGGGUAUAUAAUCGUAAUCCCUUUCUUCUAGAAUCUCCAAACAAGCUCUCAUGCAGGAACGCUGAAGACAGUGGGAAGGUGUGAUAGAGCUACAUAGACGUUUGGCAUUCCAUCUGGAGGUGGAAAAUUGUAU